rnacentral:rRNA from 1 species
UACGAAGGGGGCUAGCGUUGCUCGGAAUCACUGGGCGUAAAGCGCACGUAGGCGGAUCUUUAAGUCAGGGGUGAAAUCCUGGAGCUCAACUCCAGAACUGCCUUUGAUACUGGGGAUCUCGAGUCCGGGAGAGGUGAGUGGAACUCCGAGUGUAGAGGUGAAAUUCGUAGAUAUUCGGAAGAACACCAGUGGCGAAGGCGACACACUGGCCCAAUACUGACGCUGAGGCUCGAAAGCGUGGGGAGCAAACAGG